rnacentral:rRNA from 1 species
AUUGAACGCUGGCGGCAGGCCUAACACAUGCAAGUCGAACGGUAACAGGAAGCAGCUUGCUGCUUUGCUGACGAGUGGCGGACGGGUGAGUAAUGUCUGGGAAACUGCCCGAUGGAGGGGGAUAACUACUGGAAACGGUAGCUACUACCGCAUAACGUCGCAAGACCAAAGAGGGGGACCUUAGGGCCUCUUGCCAUCGGAUGUGCCCAGAUGGGAUUAGCUAGUAGGUGGGGUAACGGCUCACCUAGGCGACGAUCCCUAGCUGGUCUGAGAGGAUGACCGGCCCAACUGGAACUGAGACACGGUCCAGACUCCUACGGGAGGCAGCGGUGGGGAAUAUUGCACAAUGGGCGCAAGCCUGAUGCAGCCAUGCCGCGUGUAUGAAGAAGGCCUUCGGGUUGUAAAGUACUUUCAGCGGGGAGGAAGGGAGUAAAGUUAAUACCUUUACUCAUUGACGUUACCCGCAGAAGAAGCACCGGCUAACUACGUG